AGAGGUGUAACUCAGUUGGUAGAGUAACGGUCUCCAAAACCGAAUGUCGUGAGUUCAAAUCUCACCACCUCUG
rnacentral:tRNA from 6 species